rnacentral:tRNA from 1 species
AAAAGUUAGUUAAUAAUAACAUAAAAUUGUCAAUUUUAAAUUA